UCCUGAAAAAUAUGUUGACUGCAAGAGGGAAGAUCCAGCUUCCUAAUUAGCACAAACUAAUAUGCUACGUUCUGCAUGCAUACAUACACUCACAGUAUCUUCGCAGCUUAGAUUUUGUUCUCACUAUCCAUACAGAUACCACAGAUUUGAAUAUACUCGUAAAACAACUGUACCUUUAAACCAGGGAGUGGCAGGGCCAAAGAAUAUUUUAGAACUCUUUCAGCAAAGCAAUUUGAAAAAUUUAAAUUCUACUGUUUCCAGUAGUGUUUUCUUUUUCUUCCAGAAAAAUUAAUUCAUGUUACAAUUUUAUUUGCUGAUUAAAGCCCUGUUCUGGAUAAGAAAGCUAAGAAAUGCAGUGCUUGAUUGUUUUACAAAUGUCUGUUUGAUGCUGAAGUAUGAAAAUGAAUAUGUCCUCAUCUGACCAGAGUAGUCAUCCAUCAAGAGAGAAACAACAGGAGAGGCAUCAGCAAGCCCUGACUUUCAGCUGACUCACACUUCCCAAUGUGAAACCUUCUUCCCCACACCUCUGAGCCUGACAGUGAUGCUGAGACUUACUUAACUGGGAUAUGCUUCUAGUCUGGGGAGCAUUCUUUCUUUAUCACAAAACUCUCUCUUUGUUUGCUGAGAUAGAAGUUGCUAGCACCUUUUUCUGUCUUUGCCUACAUUUUCCAAAUUAACUCUGUAGCAUAUUACCAGUAAUGAAACAGAUCUUGCAACUCAAGUAGUAGCAGCCACUUGUACAGCAAGUACAUACAGGUGCUACAAGUGGGAGCAGAAAUGGGGCCCACAUUUGCUUACUUGAUUUUUUUUCUUAAUCAUUCACAUGGAUUGAGACUGUCAAGUGGAAGCAAUGCGUAAAUAAUACAUAAAUUAUUAAAAAAUAACGGGCUGAUUUCACUACGUCAACAAGUGUACAACCGCUUCCUCUGUGCCAGCAGAACAGACUUAGACUCAGUCAUACAAGGCCGUAGAGGAUCUGCUGAACUUUGGCUGACAUAUUGUUAUCCUGACUGAAAUUUCUUUUGCAGGAACUUGAGUAUCUUAGUUCAUUCUGCUUUAAGUGGCAGCAAAUUUUCUCCUGCCUGAUCUCAGAAGAAAAGAUUUUGCUGGAUGGAAAACUUGCCCCAGCAUGUGGUACACACAAAGGGCACUGCUGCUGUGUCCUGGCUCCGUGGAGAGGACUCGCCUGACUUGACUGACUUACUCAUAUUCGACAAGCUUCUAGUUCAGUAUGAACUGCUGCUAUGACUUCAGUGCCUCUGAUGAGGAUUGCUGCAGGAACUGCUUGGUCCAUGCCCUCAAAUGCACAAAUGCUCAUACUUCUCCAGUCUGCAUCAAAUUCCUGCAAUCCCAGCUAGUAGACCAUCAUCUCCAUAUGCACAUAUGUAAUGCUCAAGGCAAAUCUGUCGGUGGGCAGAGAGCUCCAGGAAAGCAUCUUCCAACCUCAAGCUCCAGGAAAUCCAGGACCUCAUCUUCUUUGCCCAUGAUCCCUGAAAGGAAACCUUCUGCUUUCACAUGACUUCGAAGGAGGACAUGAAGAAAAUGCGAGGGGAAAGGACAAGCAUAUGCCACACAAUGAUCUCUUAAGGCUUCAAAGAUACACUGCACUCACAUUUAACUCAAGGAUGCUCACCCUCACAGAUGCAAAUCAGCAAUUUAGAA